AUUGGGUGGCAUUUGUGAGCACAAAAGAGAAGACUCAGGCAUUCAGAAGGCCCUUUCAGCAAAGGGCGCCACAGGCCUGCUGGCUGAGAUUCUCCUGAGGUCACCAGGAGCAGAGCACAGAGGGACAACACAGCUUUUGCGCUUCCAGCUGGCUCCCAUCAAGAAGUUAGAAGGAAACCUGCAAACGCAUUUCCUGCUGUCAUCUCUCCACCACAGAAUGACUUUCCCUGGCAGAGCUGGGGGAGGGGAGCGGGCAGCAGGCCCCCCAGGAGGCCCUGGGCAGGAAUAUUAAUACCCCAACUUCUCAGCACAAGAGGAGGGAGGAUGAGCGGCCACGGCAGUCAGGUCCUGGGGGCCCUGAAAGGUGGUUGCUGAGCAGCCCGUGGGAGGCACUGAUCCGCCAGCUCACGGCAGGGGCCGCCCAAGUCCUAAUGAAAACAUCUAGCUCCUGGCAGGGCGCAGCCGACACAUCGUCCGGCCUUCUCGGCCACCUGGGAGAGGAUGGGCGCCGCACGCGGACACCCAACCUGCCGGGCUGUGCGCGCAGUGACAUCGCUUUUCUCCCGGCAGGCGCAUCCAUCUCGCUGGGUCUGGAUAGAUAAUACAAUCUCUCUGCCCACACCCCAUUUGCUGAGAGACAGCCUGGGCUUCUCCAUUUUUUAUGGGCUCACUUAGCUUGGAGGAAAUCCAGAGGUCAGAGCCGGCGCAGACGCUCCAGUCACCUUGCCCGUCCGGGCCCGCAGCCUUUCCAAAACAGGCUCACCCACGGGGCCCUAAAUUAUGGCGAUUACACUGCAAUUCGCAGCGCGAUAUUACUUUGAUACACUACCUGCUGCAGCCUG